UAACAGAAAAUUAGAUCACCGGACUCGGCUGAAAAAUUGGUUCCGUUGACCUCCGCGUUUUCUGAUAGCUGCUUUUCUGUUAUUAAUGGACUACGUAUUAUCAUUGAUUAUAAAAAAUUCGAUAGCAAAAUUCAGCGACCGAUCGAAUCGCCAUUUUGUAAAUGGCUAGCGCUCUUGAUGUUUGUUUUUGUGCUAAUCUAGAGAAAACGAUAUUUUUACGUACAGAGUCAAAGGGCUCUGGUAGCAAACUACAUUGGAAGUAUCUACUGGCUACUGCCUAGUGAUUUCCAGCCACUACCGCUAGGGCGUGCGUGACCUAUUUUAUAUACUUAAAGGCACUCUGGUCUUAUAUAAAUAGAUAUCUACAAUCGUGAGUCAAUGGGUCCUAAGUAUCAACUGUCCAGGGUCGGAUUCGUAGCAAGAUGACGGG